rnacentral:rRNA from 1 species
AUACGGAGGAUCCGAGCGUUAUCCGGAUUUAUUGGGCUUAAAGGGUGCGUAGGCGGACUAGUAAGUCAGUGGUGAAAUCCUGCAGCUUAACUGUAGAAUUGCCGUUGAUACUGUUAGUCUUGAGUACAUUUGAGGUAGGCGGAAUGUGGUGUGUAGCGGUGAAAUGCAUAGAUAUACCACAGAACACCGAUUGCGAAGGCAGCUUACUAAACUGUAACUGACGCUGAGGCACGAAAGCGUGGGUAUCAAACAGGAUUAGAUACCCUGGUAGUCCACGCUGUAAACGAUGAUUACUGGUUGUUUGCGAUACAUUGCAAGUGACUGAGCGAAAGCAUUAAGUAAUCCACCUGGGGAGUACGUCGGCAACGAUGAAACUCAAAGGAAUUGACGGGG